rnacentral:lncRNA from 1 species
GAUUCAAGUUUCAGAUCUAAAUGAUUGUGCAUAAAAUUAAUUAUCAAAAUAUUUUAUAAAAUUUAAAACUAUUUUUAAAUACUAAACUCCUACCCACAAGCUCAAACUUAAUUAAGAAUUAAGUUGAACCUAUUAAUGUCAUUUACAUAAAACAUGGGUGAUGGGUUUAUGGGUUAGUUUGAUCAGGUCCUCCUAAUUAGGUUAGACCUAGG